rnacentral:rRNA from 1 species
AGUGAGCGCUGGCGGCGUGCCUAACACAUGCAAGUCGAACGAUGAUGGAUGAGCUUGCUCAUCCUGAUUAGUGGCGCACGGGUGAGUAUACCAUAGAUAAUGUACCCCUUAGUUCGGGAUAGCCACUGGAAACGGUGAUUAAUACCGGAUACUCCUUCUUGCCAUAAGGUAAGUCGGGAAAGUUUUUUCGCUAAGGGAUCAGUCUAUGUCCUAUCAGGUAGUUGGUGAGGUGACGGCUCACCAAGCCUAUGACGGGUAUCUGGUUUGAGAGGAUGAUCAGACACACUGGAACUGAGACACGGUCCAGACUCCUACGGGAGGCAGCAGUGAGGAAUAUUGCACAAUGGAGGAAACUCUGAUGCAGCAACACCGCGUGGAGGAUGACGCAUUUCGGUGUGUAAACUCCUUUUAAGAGGGAAGAUUAUGACGGUACCUCUUGAAUAAGCACCGGCUAACUCCGUGCCAGCAGCCGCCGUAA